AGAGUUUGAUCAUGGCUCAGGAUGAACGCUGGCGGCGUGCCUAAUACAUGCAAGUCGAGCGAACAGAUAAGGAGCUUGCUCCUUUGACGUUAGCGGCGGACGGGUGAGUAACACGUGGGUAACCUACCUAUAAGACUGGAAUAACUCCGGGAAACCGGGGCUAAUGCCGGAUAACAUUUAGAACCGCAUGGUUCUAAAGUGAAAGAUGGUUUUGCUAUCACUUAUAGAUGGACCCGCGCCGUAUUAGCUAGUUGGUAAGGUAACGGCUUACCAAGGCAACGAUACGUAGCCGACCUGAGAGGGUGAUCGGCCACACUGGAACUGAGACACGGUCCAGACUCCUACGGGAGGCAGCAGUAGGGAAUCUUCCGCAAUGGGCGAAAGCCUGACGGAGCAACGCCGCGUGAGUGAUGAAGGUCUUCGGAUCGUAAAACUCUGUUAUUAGGGAAGAACAAAUGUGUAAGUAACUAUGCACGUCUUGACGGUACCUAAUCAGAAAGCCACGGCUAACUACGUGCCAGCAGCCGCGGUAAUACGUAGGUGGCAAGCGUUAUCCGGAAUUAUUGGGCGUAAAGCGCGCGUAGGCGGUUUUUUAAGUCUGAUGUGAAAGCCCACGGCUCAACCGUGGAGGGUCAUUGGAAACUGGAAAACUUGAGUGCAGAAGAGGAAAGUGGAAUUCCAUGUGUAGCGGUGAAAUGCGCAGAGAUAUGGAGGAACACCAGUGGCGAAGGCGACUUUCUGGUCUGUAACUGACGCUGAUGUGCGAAAGCGUGGGGAUCAAACAGGAUUAGAUACCCUGGUAGUCC
rnacentral:rRNA from 1 species